GACGAACCGUGCAAACGUUGUUCGGAAUCACUGGGCUUAAAGGGCGCGUAGGCGGGCAAGCCAGUCCGGGGUGAAAUCUUUCGGCCCAACCGGAAAAGGGCCUCGGAGACGACUUGUCUAGAGGGAGGUAGGGGCAGACGGAACUUCCGGUGGAGCGGUGAAAUGCGUUGAUAUCGGAAGGAACGCCGGUGGCGAAAGCGGUCUGCUGGACCUCUACUGACGCUGAGGCGCGAAAGCCAGGGGAG
rnacentral:rRNA from 1 species